rnacentral:rRNA from 1 species
UACGUAGGGGGCAAGCGUUGUCCGGAAUCAUUGGGCGUAAAGCGCGUGUAGGCGGUCCGGUAAGUCCGCUGUGAAAGUCGGGGGGCUCAACCCUCGAAUGCCGGUGGAUACUGUCGGGCUAGAGUGCGGAAGAGGCGAGUGGAAUUCCUGGUGUAGCGGUGAAAUGCGCAGAUAUCAGGAGGAACACCAAUUGCGAAGGCAGCUCGCUGGGACGUUACUGACGCUGAGACGCGAAAAGCGUGGGGAGCAAACAGG